GUAGUACUCCGUCAGUCCAAAAAAGGUUGUCCCAAACUUGUUCCUCAAAUGGAUGUAUCUAGCACUAACUUGGUGCUAGAUACAUCAAUUUGAGGGACAAGUUUUUCCGGACAGAGGGAGUGUAUC
rfam:Triticum urartu cultivar G1812 contig657426, whole genome shotgun sequence.